rnacentral:lncRNA from 1 species
AAAAAUGAAAGGGACACCUUUAAAUGAGUGCUAGCCAUUUUCUACAGAUCUCUGGAUAUGUCUGCUUUGGAAAAUAUGCUGAGCACUUCCCACUGGUGCUGGUGUCACACUGAAUCUAGCCGUGUUCAGCUGCUCAUCACAAUGAAGCUUCUUCAGUGAGAACAUAAAAAAAGGAUGCUUACUGAUGACACAUACGAGGCUCAUGCUUUCCAUGGCAAGCU